rnacentral:snRNA from 1 species
AAGCUGAAGAAGUUUUCUG